GGGGAAUCUUCCGCAAUGGGCGAAAGCCUGACGGAGCAAUACCGCGUGAGGGAGGAAGGCUCUUGGGUUGUAAACCUCUUUUCUCAGGGAAGAACAAAAUGACGGUACCUGAGGAAUAAGCAUCGGCUAACUCCGUGCCAGCAGCCGCGGUAAUACGGAGGAUGCAAGCGUUAUCCGGAAUUAUUGGGCGUAAAGCGUCCGCAGGUGGCAAUUCAAGUCUGCUGUCAAAGGUUCUGGCUCAACCAGUAACAGGCAGUGGAAACUGAAUAGCUAGAGUGCGGUAGGGGCAGAGGGAAUUCCCAGUGUAGCGGUGAAAUGCGUAGAGAUUGGGAAGAACACCGGUGGCGAAAGCGCUCUGCUAGGCCGUAACUGACACUCAUGGACGAAAGCUAGGGGAGCGAAUGGGAUUAGAUACCCCAG
rnacentral:rRNA from 1 species